rnacentral:rRNA from 1 species
AGUGAACGCUGGCGGUAGGCCUAACACAUGCAAGUCGAACGGCAGCACAGUAAGAGCUUGCUCUUACGGGUGGCGAGUGGCGGACGGGUGAGGAAUACAUCGGAAUCUACUUUUUCGUGGGGGAUAACGUAGGGAAACUUACGCUAAUACCGCAUACGACCUACGGGUGAAAGCAGGGGAUCUUCGGACCUUGCGCGAUUGAAUGAGCCGAUGUCGGAUUAGCUAGUUGGCGGGGUAAAGGCCCACCAAGGCGACGAUCCGUAGCUGGUCUGAGAGGAUGAUCAGCCACACUGGAACUGAGACACGGUCCAGACCCCUACGGGAGGCAGCAGUGGGGAAUAUUGGACAAUGGGCGCAAGCCUGAUCCAGCAAUACCGCGUGGGUGAAGAAGGCUUUCGGGUUGUAAAGCCUUUUUGUUGGGAAAGAAAAGCAGCAGGUUAAUACCCCGCUGUUCUGACGGUACCCAAAGAAUAAGCACCGGCUAACUUCGUG